GUUCUGGAUUCUCCCAACGUUCCCAGAGACCAGGCCACCACAUGGUACAAUCUCCUACAAUGAAGUGGUCCUCUUGAAAACAUCUCGGGGGGCCAACCAACAUGGGACAAUUUCAACCAUAGGUGUCUUUUUCAUGCCCACACCCUUAAUUUUAAACUGCAUUUAAGCUAAUUUCCCAACACAGAAGCAUAGUUUAUGGGUAUUUAUUGUGUUUUUGUAAUCCUCUAUAUCACAUGUAUGGUGUCUAUCACUGAGUCUACUACCUAUAAGAUGAUUACAUUCUUUGAAGAGUUCAUGUAAUCAUAAUGCUAAUUUCCAAACAGUGAUUUAUUUGGUAUGUUUUUGAUGCUUGUGUACACUUGGCCAUCCAUAUUUUCAGGGUUUGGCUUUUGCAGAUUUGAUUAUUCAGGAAUUUGAUUAAUAUGUUCUUUCAGUGUUACUCUAUAGUCAACUUUUGUCAGAUGUUGACCAUAUAGAGUUUGGAGAUUCCUAGGAAUGAGUUCUCUCAGGUAAACAAGAAAUUUAGCAAUUUUAAUUUGAAGAUUUUUUUUUUAACUUUUGCAGGAGUCCUGAUUUCCUAACCCCAGCAAAUGUGGAUGGCCCACUGUAUUCAAUAAAUAUUUUCAAAAGAGAUGGGUGGACAGGCUACUGGGACAACUGCAAAGAUCCAAAGAUCCUGUACACAUGUGUGCACACUUAUCUAUAUAUUGUGCAGAACACACUUGUUAGCAUACUAUUCAUAACAUCUUACAUGAUUCAGAAAAAACUUUGAAAUGUAUAUUCGAGGAUUUUUCAGGCUGGCCAGGAGAUUCAGGGAUCAAUAAAUUAAAGCAGGAACUUUUCCAAUCUUUGGUUUUAGGAGCAUAUAAAGCUACUUUCUGCUAACUCAGAAUAUGUGUCCAUCAACAUAUGUUCAUUACAGGUAUAUGAAUACCAGUUUAACUGCUAUAGCUCCUUUCUGUGGAAUCUGUAGUUUGGUAGGGCAAUAAAAAUGGUCUGGCAGAGAAUUCUAAUCCAUUCACCUGAAUUACAGUAUCAAUGGACUAUUUUUUUAUUUAAAACAUUUAUAAUUCUGGCCUUUUGACCCCGAAGGGGACUCAGGGCACAGCACAACAUAUAUACAGCAAGCACUCAAUGCCAGAACAUAAAAUAAACCGUAAAUAAACACUAAACACUAAAAUCAGUUAUCUUCACAUUAAAACCAUUAUUUAUUUAAAAUUACAAUUCUACAAUUUCAGUUGUGGCUAAAGUUGAGGAAUUCCAGGACAUUGUGAUAAAUUUUCCAAAUUCUGCAUAAAUCUUGAUCUGCUACCUUAUUGUUCCAGGUGAAGCGGUAAAAGAAAAUAUGAUGGAGAAUUCAAGGAAGAGCAUCAAAUGGUGUGAGGAAGCAAUUGAAUCUAAGCUCCAGGUGCCAUUAAAGAACAUUUAAGUGUAUUGACCUUAGCAAAUCCAGCAUCUUUGAUGCCAGGAAAGCAAUUUCUAUGAGAUGAACAGUUUCCAGCUCUUGAUAAGAGAUAGAGGAAAAGGAAGAAGAAAAUGAAUCUCCCUUUGAAGAAAAGCAGACUUGUGUUAGUCAUUACAACAUAUUCUUGUAUUUAUUUUCAUUUAUGCAGUAGGCAAUAUAUUUCCUGUUCCUUACUGUAAAUAAGGCUCAGUAUAUAUAAAUAAAAUGAUGGACAAUUUCCCCCUUCA